rnacentral:rRNA from 1 species
UGCAAGUCGUACGCUUCUUUUUCCACCGGAGCUUGCUCCACCGGAAAAAGAAGAGUGGCGAACGGGUGAGUAACACGUGGGUAACCUGCCCAUCAGAAGGGGAUAACACUUGGAAACAGGUGCUAAUACCGUAUAACAAUCGAAACCGCAUGGUUUUGAUUUGAAAGGCGCUUUCGGGUGUCGCUGAUGGAUGGACCCGCGGUGCAUUAGCUAGUUGGUGAGGUAACGGCUCACCAAGGCUACGAUGCAUAGCCGACCUGAGAGGGUGAUCGGCCACAUUGGGACUGAGACACGGCCCAAACUCCUACGGGAGGCAGCAGUAGGGAAUCUUCGGCAAUGGACGAAAGUCUGACCGAGCAACGCCGCGUGAGUGAAGAAGGUUUUCGGAUCGUAAAACUCUGUUGUUAGAGAAGAACAAGGAUGAGAGUAACUGUUCAUCCCUUGACGGUAUCUAACCAGAAAGCCACGGCUAACUACGUGCCAGCAGCCGCGGUAAUACGUAAGUGGCAAGCGUUGUCCGGAUUU